UCUUGGGCAGAAGCUCAGUCAGUAGAGCAUGAGACUCUUCAUCUCAGGGUUGUGAGUUCAAGCCCCACAUUGGGAA